rnacentral:rRNA from 1 species
AGCCCUAAGUGGGUGGUAAACUCCAUCUAAGGCUAAAUAUGACCACGAGACCGAUAGCGAACAAGUACCGUGAGGGAAAGUUGAAAAGCACUUUGAAGAGAGAGUUCAAGAGUACGUGAAACCGUUUAGGGGUAAACCUGAGAAACCCGAAAGGUCGAAGGAAGAAAUUCAUUCGCGUUUCGUCGCAGGCGUCGAGCGGGAUAGUGUGACGGGGAGCGUUCGCGCGUUUCCCGCUCCUCCCGUUCUUCGAACCGGUGACGAACGCGUGCACUUUUCUUCUGGUAGGACGUCGCGAUCCGUUGGGUGUCGGUCUACGGUUCGCGGUGGAGCCCGUUCGUCGUAUUUCUCGUACGUACGAACGGACCCGCGUGUCCCGGCCGACUCGCUCGACGGUAUACGAAAGGUUUAAGGCCGCUCUCGGAGCGUUCGGCUCGUGGCAAGCGCGUCAGAUGCGUCGGCGAUCGGACCCAGUGCCGAUUCUGACCUCUGAUGACUGUUGGCCGCGAAGUUCUCGAACAGACCUUAAAACCGAUCUGCGACGCUAUAGCUUUGGGUACUUUCAG